rnacentral:rRNA from 1 species
GCUUGUCUCAAAGAUUAAGCCAUGCAUGUUCAAGUAUAGCAAGUGUACAGUGAAACUGCGAAUGGCUCAUUAAAUCAGUUAUAAUUUAUUUGAUAGUGAAAUUGUACAUGGAUAACCGUAGUAAUUCUAGAGCUAAUACAUGCAGGAAGACCCGACUCACGAAGGGUUGUAUUUAUUAGAUAAGAAACCUUCCCCUUUGGGUUGCGUGCCGAGUCACAAUAACUGCUCGAAUCGCAUGGCUUCACGCCGGCGAUGGUUCAUUCAAAUUUCUGCCCUAUCAGCUUUCGAUGGUAGGAUCGAGGCCUACCAUGGCGUUUACGGGUAACGGAGAAUUAGGGUUCGAUUCCGGAGAGGGAGCCUGAGAGAUGGCUACCACAUCCAAGGAAGGCAGCAGG